rnacentral:rRNA from 1 species
GGCUCAGAUUGAACGCUGGCGGCAUGCCUUACACAUGCAAGUCGAACGGCAGCACGGGUGCUUGCACCUGGUGGCGAGUGGCGAACGGGUGAGUAAUACAUCGGAACGUACCUUAUCGUGGGGGAUAACGCAGCGAAAGCUGUGCUAAUACCGCAUACGCCCUGAGGGGGAAAGCGGGGGAUCGAAAGACCUCGCGCGAUUAGAGCGGCCGAUGCCUGAUUAGCUUGUUGGUGGGGUAAAAGCCCACCAAGGCGACGAUCAGUAGCUGGUCUGAGAGGACGAUCAGCCACACUGGGACUGAGACACGGCCCAGACUCCUACGGGAGGCAGCAGUGGGGAAUUUUGGACAAUGGGGGAAACCCUGAUCCAGCAAUGCCGCGUGAGUGAAGAAGGCCUUCGGGUUGUAAAGCUCUUUUGUCAGGGAAGAAACACCGGCUCUAACACAGUCCGGGAAUGACGGUACCUGAAGAAUAAGCACCGGCUAACUACGUG